rnacentral:lncRNA from 1 species
UGGCUGCUCACCUUACUCAUUUGAACCAUUUCGGUUACCCAAUCGCGCGUCUUCUUGAACCCCGCCGCUCGCAGCACCGACAGCCGCCGCGGGAGCCGGACAAUACCCCAGGCCCGCCUCGCGCUGCCGCGACCAAUGGCUGCUCACCUUACUCAUUUGAACCAUUUCGGUUACCCAAUCGCGCGUCUUCUUCUAGCUAGAACCCCGCCCCCACGGCACCGCCUCUCUAACGGCUGUUUGUUUUUGCACACGGCACGUAGAGGUGGGGUUUCCAACCCCAACACUGACGCGCUUUCGGCUUCUCUCCACGCGCCGAGCUUGACGAACAGGAGGACCGACCAAUGGGGGCGGAAAAGAGCCAAUGAAAACAUCGCCCGCGAGAAAGGGAGGCAUGUUCGUGUUGUGACGGCUGGACCGCCACACCCCUGCAGUUGUAAUCAGAAGGGAACAGACAGAUGAGAUCACGCUGCCUGCAGAGUCGCCUUCCUGGGCGAGGUUGUCAGUGGGUGUCCAUGGCCAGGAGGCCAGAAGCUGCAGUGCAGGGACAUUCCACCCCGGUGACAGCAGCCGGUCUCUGCAUGCUGCUUCCUGCCGCUGUCCCGGGCACUUCCCUCUUCACGGUGUUCACAUGUGCUCUGAACACGGCAUGCCUCG